rnacentral:rRNA from 1 species
ACCGCGUGUGCGAUGAAGGCCUUCGGGUUGUAAAGCACUUUUCAGAAGGAAGAGGAAGGACUGUACUUCUGGAAUAAGUCUCGGCUAACUACGUGCCAGCAGCCGCGGUAAUACGUAGGAGGCAAACGUUAUCCGGAUUUACUGGGCGUAAAGCGCGUGUAGGCGGUUUGAUAAGUUGGACGUGAAAGCUCCCGGCUCAACUGGGAGAGGUCGUUCAAUACUGUCAGACUUGAGGAUGGUAGAGGGAGGUGGAAUUCCGGGUGUAGUGGUGAAAUGCGCAGAUAUCCGGAGGAACACCAGUGGCGAAAGCGGCCUCCUGGACCAUUUCUGACGCUAAGACGCGAAAGCUAGGGUAGCAAACGGGAUUAGAGACCCCGGUAGUCCUAGCUGUAAACGAUGUGAACUUGGCGUCGGUGGGAUUAAAUCCAUCGGUGUCGAAGCUAACGCGAUAAGUUCACCGCCUGAGGACUACGGCCGCAAGGUUAAAACUCAAAGGAAUU